UGGGGAAUAUUGCACAAUGGGCGCAAGCCUGAUGCAGCCAUGCCGCGUGUAUGAAGAAGGCCUUCGGGUUGUAAAGUACUUUCAGCGAGGAGGAAGGUGUUGUGGUUAAUAACCGCAGCAAUUGACGUUACUCGCAGAAGAAGCACCGGCUAACCGUCGUCCAGCAGCCGCGGUAAUACGGAGGGUGCAAGCGUUAAUCGGAAUUACUGGGCGUAAAGCGCACGCAGGCGGUCUGUCAAGUCGGAUGUGAAAUCCCCGGGCUCAACCUGGGAACUGCAUCCGAAACUGGCAGGCUAGAGUCUUGUAGAGGGGGUAGAUUCCAGGUGUAGCGGUGAAUUGCGUAGAGAUCUGGAGGAAUACCGGUGGCGAAGGCGGCCCCCUGC
rnacentral:rRNA from 1 species